rnacentral:rRNA from 1 species
UACGGAGGGCGCAAGCGUUGUUCGGAAUUACUGGGCGUAAAGCGCGUGUAGGCGGCUGAGCAAGUCGGUUGUGGAAGCCCAGGGCCCAACCCUGGAAUUGCGUCCGAAACUGCUUGGCUAGAGUCCUGGAGAGGAAGGCAGAAUUCCCAGUGUAGGGGUGAAAUCCGUAGAUACUGGGAGGAAUACCCGUAGCGAAGGCGGCCUUCUGGACAGUGACUGACGCUCAGACGCGAAAGCGUGGGGAGCAAACAGG